rnacentral:rRNA from 1 species
UGGGGAAUAUUGGACAAUGGGGGCAACCCUGAUCCAGCCAUGCCGCGUGAGUGAUGAAGGCCUUCGGGUUGUAAAGCUCUUUUGGCGGGGACGAUAAUGACGGUACCCGCAGAAUAAGCCCCGGCUAACUUCGUGCCAGCAGCCGCGGUAAUACGCAGGGGGCUAGCGUUGUUCGGAAUUAUUGGGCGUAAAGGGCGCGUAGGCGGCCUGACCAGUCAGAUGUGAAAGCCCCGGGCUUAACCCGGGAAUGGCGUUUGAUACUGUCAGGCUCGAAUUCGGGAGAGGUUGGUGGAAUUCCCAGUGUAGAGGUGAAAUUCGUAGAGAUUGGGAAGAACACCCGUGGCGAAGGCGGCCAACUGGACCGACAUUGACGCUGAGGCGCGAAAGCGUGGGGAGCAAACA